rnacentral:rRNA from 1 species
GGUAGGUUAUCCUUCAUCAGAUCAUACGUAUUUAGAGUUGUUGCAGUUAAAAAGCUCGUAGUUGAACCUUGGGCCUGGUGGAGGACGCCUCACGCGUGUACUGGUCCGGCCGGGCCUUUCCUUCUGGGGAACCCCAUGCCCUUCACUGGAAGUGGCCGGAAAACAGGACUUUUACUUUGAAAAAAUUAGAGUGCUCCAAGCAGGCCUGUGCUCCAAUACAUCAGCAUGAAAUAAUAAAACAGGACAUGUGAUUCUAUUUUGUUGGGUCUAGGACCGCAGGCCUGCUUAUUAGACUCUGUCUUUUUCACAGUAAAAAUCCCUGUUCCCCCCCCCACCCCGGGAAGGGCGUGAGGUUCCCCACCGGGAAAGGCCCCGCCCCGAAUGUUUUUCUUUUGUGAGGGGAAGAAAGUUUGGGGGAGACCAAGGAUAAACUAAACAGCUUUUUUUCUUCACCCACAUUUAUUUCCCACCAUGGGAGCGAGGAUGUUUUUUUUUUUGGCGCGGGUCCGAGUGCCGCGGAAAAAAA